AUGGAUUUCUCCAUGGAGGCCGCCAGGGAGCUCGGCCUCCCCUAUGUCCAGCUGUGGACGGCCAGCGCCAUCAGCUUCCUCGGUUACCGCCACUACCGCCUCCUCUUCGCCCGCGGCCUCGCGCCGAUCAAAGACGUCGAACAGCUGACGGACGAGUACCUUGACACGCCGGUGGAGGACGUUCCGGGCCUGAGGAACAUGAGGUUCAGGGACUUCUCGAGCUUCAUACGCAGCCCGGCCCCGGACGACUACAUGCUGCAUUUCGCGCUCGGGAUGACGGAGCGCGCGGCCGGCGCGUCGGCGGUGAUCGUCAACACCUUCGACGACCUCGAGGGAGAGGAGGUGGCGGCCAUGGAGGCGCUCGGCCUGCCCAAGGUCUACACCAUCGGCCCGCUCUCGCUGUUGGCACCGCUCAAGGGCCCGAGUUCCGCCAUCAGCAUGAGCCUAUGGAAGCCGCGGGAGGAGUGCCUGCCGUGGCUCGACGGCAAGGACCCCGGCUCCGUCAUGUACGUCAACUUCGGCAGCAUCACCGUCAUGACCAACGAGCAGCUGGUGGAGUUCGCGUGGGGUCUGGCCAAGAGCGGCAGGCACUUCCUCUGGGUCAUCCGCCCGGACCUCGUCAAGGGCGACGCCGCCGUGCUGCCGCUGGAGUUCUCGGACGAGACGGCGGGGCGCGGGCUGGUGGCCUCCUGA
rnacentral:rRNA from 1 species